GUGGAUUAGAUACCCGGGUAGUCCUAGCCCUAAACGAUGUCGACUUGACGUCGGUGGCUUAAUCGUCAUCGGUGUCGUAGCUAACGCGAUAAGUCGACCGCCUGGGGACUACGGCCGCAAGGUUAAAACUCAAAGGAAUUGACGGGUCCCCGCACAAGCAGCGGAGCGUGUGGUUUAAUUCGUUGCUACACGAAGAACCUUACCUGGGUUUGACAUAGCAGUGGUAGGGAAGCGAAAGCGGACCGACCCUUCGGGGAGCUGUUACAGGUGUUGCACGGCCGUCGCCAACU
rnacentral:rRNA from 1 species